AAUCUCACACUAAAUACUAUCUACUGGAUGACCUUCAUAAGUCAUUUUUCAAUGCAUAAAGUCAAUGAAUAAAUGGAAAUGUAAUUGCACUGGAGAAGAACUACUGUAAACAUAAGAACUGCUAUUAAUACAACGCAACAGAGUCGAAUCACGUCGGAUAUUUGGUGUAAUACCCACGUUUCCAUGAGAACACACCCUGAGAAAUGAAACAGUUAGAAUAAGGUGCAGCGGAUUAUUGACGCAAGGGUAUGCAGAUUGUAUCACAAGCAUAAUUUAUAUAUGGAGGAUCAAACAGAUGUGCCGUAACAGUGUGUCAUGAAUCACAGUUACACACGGUGCCAGAGCAUCUAGCAGCUUAAGGCUUUUGUUUUAUUGUGAACCACACCUGACUCUGCACUGAGUAGACCUCUUGAUAAGACCAAUAACCUUUCAUAUGACUAAUCACGCUGCUUUUUUUUUUGUUAUCAGACUCUUAUAGACUCCAUAAGCGGCCUCUCUGCAUCACUUCACUUCACUCUGACACAGAGCAGCGCUCCGACACAUCGACUUCCAAAAACAUUCCACUUCCACGUCCGAGAUAAGCAAUAUCAUUCCCGUUUUUAUCCAGAUGGAGGUCUCCACGAAGCGCUGGUUUGCAUGGACGGCUCUCUGCAUCGCUGUGUUAGUGAUGUCAGAUAAUGCAGAAAGCUUGUGAAAGUUACAAAACCAUUUCUGAACUGCUUUUGCCUCUGCUGAAAGUGCAAAUCUGGAGACAUCACAGAAGCUGGCCGCUGAUUAUGAGUUCGAUUAUUACUUCACCAUUGAGAUCAUGAACCGCAUCUACAACGAUUCCCUCACCGACCCCGAUUCUCCUUAUUAUAAGAUGAUGUACAGUGAAGUUAGCGGCGCAUUCUACUCUGUCUUUGGCUGCUCCAGCUGUCCCAAUAGUGCAGCUUAUCAUGGUGUGACAUCCAUGAGUUUCAG
ensembl:lncRNA